GUACAUAUUGGGAACCCAAAAGUCUGAAUAACUAGAGCUUUUGAGAAGACUAACCUAACAUGACCCAAAUAGCAAUGGGUACCAAAUUAGAAAACCGUUUAAUCUACAGGUAUCUGGUUUAUUUUCCCUUAUUUAGAAACUGAAGCACAUGACUUCAUUCAUAAAGCUUCCUAUCAACUGCAAGUUCAGGAUUCCUCAUAAAUGUUCUAAUUCAAGACCAUCCAAGGAAGCAUGCAAUUAAUGACAAGAAGUAGAAGACCGUACAAGCUCAUUCAUGCAAAGUAUUUCAGCUCAAGAGAACCAAGAAGGAAGAUUGCUUCAGUAAUCAUCCGCCAAUAGUGAUGAAGGGUGAAUCGUAGAAGUGAAACUCUACAGGUACAGAAGAUGUUAAAAGUCUGAAUGAUAGAACCUACGUUCGUAGUGUCUAGUCAAGAAGUUGUGGAGUAACCAGUUCUAAAGAAAGUACUCUAAGAUCCAAUAGAGUUGAUUCAACCAUGAAGAUAUCAGACCAGCUCAGAAGAUUCCAGCUAAAAGGAGAAGUGCAAGGCAACCUUGCAAAGAUCUAUAUACAUAAUGUAUAUAGCUCAUCUACUUCUAAGAUAGAAGUAUCAACUAAGGGGGAGCAAUAGUCUGCUAAAGCCUAGUAAUGUUGAAAUUGAGGAGGAACACAUUGAAGCUGAAUCUUACAAAUCUCUCAAACUAUGAAGGUAGCUGACUCUGAUACUCAUGAAAGAGUAGACAUGAAAAAUAUGCAGCUGCAUGACAAAGAAGAUGAAGGAGACGAAGUGGAAUUUAUUGCCAACUUUAGAGAUGAGCUCAGGAGACAGAUCAUCCUCCCUCAUAUCUCUGAUAAUCAGUCUCUAGAGCAUCAGUACACAUCUAUCAAAGUCCUUAUGAACCAGCAAAGUACUGAACCAAGAAUUCUCCCGUAUUUUCCAGAAGCUGACCAUUAGCUAUUCAUCUUAAGUUCUUAAGACAAAAAUGCACUUCAUCUAACAAUACUACAUGAUGAAUUAUCCACCUAUAAUUCUUCAGGCAUUGUGAGAAGCUUCAAUGAUCCUUGGGUUGAUACUCCGUCUUAUCCAAACAAGCCCUCUCCUAGUGACAGAGUCGUAAAACUCUGUGGUUGAUGAACCAAAUAAAUUUUCAUCCCCGAUCGUAGAGUCUCUAAACUUUACGACUAAUAAUCAAGUUAGUCUCAAUGUCUCAAUCGUAG
rnacentral:lncRNA from 1 species